rnacentral:lncRNA from 1 species
AAAAGAUAUCAAGAAUUCUGAAAUGCCUCUACCAGCUUCUUCUUUCAGCAAAUGAAAAACUCUCUCUAGACAUAAAUGUCAGAGCAACAAGGAAAUGGAAAUGAAUCCUUGCUCCAGCAUCCAGAGGAAGAAAAAGCAAUAACCAACUGUAAUGGAGACAUUACACCAUUCAACACUAUGUAUCUGCAUCAAUCUGAUUUUAAUUUGCUUAUUGUUCAUUCUGUGAUUUAGGAAAAAGGAGUUUUAUAUUUUCUUUUAAGGAAUUCCAAAUAUGGCCAAAGGUCUAAUGAAAAAAAGUAGCAAGGAAUGUAGGCCAUGGGAAUUUUUAACUGGAAAAUUCAUGUUGUGUGAAAGCAAAAUAUGUCAUAGAACCACUCUAUAUAUGCAGUGAUUAUUUAUCAUCUUUGUACAUUGAUUAUUUUAUUCUUCAUUUGCUUCCACAGUCUUCCUUUAUCUUAAAU